GAUGAACGCUGACGGCGUGCCUAAUACAUGCAAGUCGAGCGAACGGACGAGAAGCUUGCUUCUCUGAUGUUAGCGGCGGACGGGUGAGUAACACGUGGAUAACCUACCUAUAAGACUGGGAUAACUUCGGGAAACCGGAGCUAAUACCGGAUAAUAUUUUGAACCGCAUGGUUCAAAAGUGAAAGACGGUCUUGCUGUCACUUAUAGAUGGAUCCGCGCUGCAUUAGCUAGUUGGUAAGGUAACGGCUUACCAAGGCAACGAUGCAUAGCCGACCUGAGAGGGUGAUCGGCCACACUGGAACUGAGACACGAUCCAGACUCCUACGGGAGGCAGCAGUAGGGAAUCUUCCGCAAUGGGCGAAAGCCUGACGGAGCAACGCCGCGUGAGUGAUGAAGGUCUUCGGAUCGUAAAACUCUGUUAUUAGGGAAGAACAUAUGUGUAAGUAACUGUGCACAUCUUGACGGUACCUAAUCAGAAAGCCACGGCUAACUACGUG
rnacentral:rRNA from 1 species